rnacentral:rRNA from 1 species
AACGUAGGGGGCGAGCGUUGCCCGGAUUCACUGGGCGUAAAGCGGGUGUAGGCGGUUCAUUAAGUCGGAUGUGAAAUCUCACGGCCCAACCGUGGAAUUGCAUCCGAAACUGGUGGACUUGAGGACGGUAGAGGCAGGUGGAAUACCGGGUGUACCGGUGAAAUGGGCAGAUAUCCGGUGGAACACCCGUGGCGAAGGCGGCAUCCUGGACCAACACUGACGCUGAGGAGCGAAAGCCAGGGGAGCAAACGGG